GAUGAACGCUGGCGGCGUGCCUAACACAUGCAAGUCGAACGGAGAUUACGGACGGAAGUUUUCGGAUGGAAGCCUGUAAUUCUUAGUGGCGGACGGGUGAGUAACGCGUGGGCGACCUGCCCUAUACAGGGGGAUAGCAGCUGGAAACGGCUGGUAAGACCGCAUAAGUCGGUUAAAUCGCAUGAUUUGAUCGGGAAAUGAGCAAUCAGGUAUAGGAUGGGCUCGCGUCCGAUUGGCCAGUUGGCAGGGUAAAAGCCUACCAAGGCGACGAUCGGUAGCCGGACUGAGAGGUCGAACGGCCACAUUGGGACUGAGACACGGCCCAAACUCCUACUGGAUGCAGCAGUGGGGGAUAUUGCACAAUGGAGGAAAAUCUGAUGCAGCGACGCCGCGUGAGUGAAGAAGUAUUUAGGAAUGUAAAACUCUAUCAGCAGGGAAGAUAAUGACGGUACCUGACUAAGAAGCCCCGGCUAACUACGUG
rnacentral:rRNA from 1 species